AUUGAACGCUGGCGGCAUGCCUUACACAUGCAAGUCGAACGGUAACGCGGGGCAACCUGGCGACGAGUGGCGAACGGGUGAGUAAUGCAUCGGAACGUGCCUGGUAGUGGGGGAUAACUGUUCGAAAGAGCAGCUAAUACCGCAUACGACCUGAGGGUGAAAGGGGGGAGUCGCAAGACCUCUCGCUAUUAGAGCGGCCGAUGUCGGAUUAGCUAGUUGGUGGGGUAAAGGGCCCACCAAGGCGACGAUCUGUAGCGGGUCUGAGAGGAUGAUCCGCCACACUGGAACUGAGACACGGUCCAGACUCCUACGGGAGGCAGCAGUGGGGAAUUUUGGACAAUGGGCGCAAGCCUGAUCCAGCCAUGCCGCGUGAGUGAAGAAGGCCUCGGUUGUAAG
rnacentral:rRNA from 1 species